rnacentral:rRNA from 1 species
UACGUAGGGAGCGAGCGUUGUCCGGAAUUACUGGGUGUAAAGGGAGCGUAGGCGGGGAUGCAAGUUGGGUGUCAAAACUACCGGCUCAACUGGUAGUCGCACUCAAAACUGCAGCUCUUGAGUGAAGUAGAGGCAGGCGGAAUUCCUAGUGUAGCGAUGAAAUGCGUAGAUAUUAGGAGGAACACCAGUGGCGAAGGCGGCCUGCUGGGCUUUUACUGACGCUGAGGCUCGAAAGUGUGGGGAGCAAACAGG